CUCUCUGGCCUGGAGCAGCCCCGGAGCCUGACUGACAUCGGGCGACUCCUCGCCCUGCUUCGCAAAGCUCGACCGCCACCUCCCCGCCCUCUCCACACCCGCCCUGCCUCUCCCCACUCCUGCCUGCAAUUUGUCGGGGAGAGUCCUUCCACUUGAGGGCUACGACAUGGGAUCUGUUGCCAAAACAUUCCGUCAGCCACGCACAUCAACCUAGAACUCCAGCUUAUUCUCCAGCUUCUGGCUCAAGUGAUGCUAAAUUGGAAAAGAAACAACAAUGAUGAUAACAAUAGCAGCAGCUAACACUGAACUCCUAUUUUGUGCAAGGCACUUGCAAAGGCACCUGCCACGUUGGGAUCUGCCCAGUGGAGAGGCACAUCUGGCAAGGAACUGACGUCUUCAGACAGUAGCUCCUGAGGACCCAAGGCCUGCCAAGAGUCACCCUUUUGUUCCUGUUUUGAGGAUUCAUGAAUGUCUCUGAAGAUGUUAAAUAGAUAUUUCUCUCCCCGACCUUUUAAAGUUUUCUGCUCCCUGCACUGUUGCUAAUAAACCUGU
ensembl:lncRNA